AUGCUGUUCAGAGCCGGAAGCCAGUGC
rnacentral:sRNA from 1 species